AUUGCCUCAGUAACGGCGAGUGAAGCGGCAACAGCUCAAAUUUGAAAUCUGGCCCUAGGCCCGAGUUGUAAUUUGCAGAGGAUGCUUUUGGUGAGGUGCCUUCCGAGUUCCCUGGAACGGGACGCCAUAGAGGGUGAGAGCCCCGUCUGGUCGGACACCGAGCCUCUGUAAAGCUCCUUCGACGAGUCGAGUAGUUUGGGAAUGCUGCUCUAAAUGGGAGGUAUAUGUCUUCUAAAGCUAAAUACCGGCCAGAGACCGAUAGCGCACAAGUAGAGUGAUCGAAAGAUGAAAAGCACUUUGAAAAGAGAGUUAAAUAGCACGUGAAAUUGUUGAAAGGGAAGCGUUUAUGACCAGACUUGGCCCGGUUGAUCAUCCAGCGUUCUCGCUGGUGCACUCUGCCGGUCCAGGCCAGCAUCAGUUCGUCGCGGGGGAUAAAGGUUUCGGGAAUGUGGCUCCUCCGGGAGUGUUAUAGCCCGUUGCGUAAUACCCUGCGGUGGACUGAGGUCCGCGCUUCUGCAAGGAUGCUGGCGUAAUGGUCAUCAACGACCCGUCUUGAAACACGGACCAAGGAGUCGUCUUCGUAUGCGAGUGUUCGGGUGUAAAACCCCUACGCGUAAUGAAAGUGAACGCAGGUGAGAGCUUCGGCGCAUCAUCGACCGAUCCUGAUGUUCUCGGAUGGAUUUGAGUAAGAGCAUACGGGGCCGGACCCGAAAGAAGGUGAACUAUGCCUGUAUAGGGUGAAGCCAGAGGAAACUCUGGUGGAGGCUCGCAGCGGUUCUGACGUGCAAAUCGAUCGUCAAAUAUGGGCAUGGGGGCGAAAGAC
rnacentral:rRNA from 1 species